GCGAGUGUAACUCAGUAGGUAGAGUAAUACGUUGUGGUUGUAUGAGUCAUGGGUUCAAGUCCCAUCAUUCGC
rnacentral:tRNA from 1 species